rnacentral:rRNA from 1 species
UACAGAGGUCUCAAGCGUUGUUCGGAUUCAUUGGGCUUAAAGGGCGCGUAGGCGGGCGGCCAAGUCGAGGGUGAAAGCCCCCAGCUCAACUGGGGAAGUGCCUCCGAUACUGGCCAUCUCGAGGGAGGUAGGGGCGUGCGGAACUUCCGGUGGAGCGGUGAAAUGCGUAGAUAUCGGAAGGAACACCGGUGGCGAAAGCGGCGCGCUGGACCUCUUCUGACGCUGAGGCGCGAAAGCCAGGGGAGCAAAGCGGG